UAGCACUUCUCAGGGUAUUGAAUUAUUUUGCUUGUUUUUCCUCUUGAUUAUAGACUUUUUGCUUCACCUGAGUUUAAAAUUGAUUUGAGGCACUAUAGUGAUUUUUUUCUGGUGGGAUGUUGCUGUUGUUGCAGCAGAAGGCUGUGAGUCCUCACCAAGAAAUGUCAACCUUUUGCCAUGAGGCAGUGUGUUCCCAUCUGCAGUACUUCUGAUGGGAGGUAUCAUGACACAGCGAAGAGAUUUUGACAGGUGACAGCACUACAGAGGGUGCUGGCUGCAGUGGGAUCUCAAGAUUAUGUUUUACAAGAGCUACUGGAUGCACACCACAGAAAUCUUUUGUUUCUUUGCUCUCAGAACAAAAAAGGUCCUGCAAGGUCAUCUUCAGCUCUGUCCUGAACCAGGAUAUUUUCCUUUGCUUUACUCGACGCAGACGAAGCAGACAAGGACUGAAAUCUUUUGAAAAUUGAACAAUCAGGCCAAAGGAAGAGCUAGAAUCAGCUCCACCAGGCUUCUCUUCCAGCCUUAGUCUUUGGGAUUAAUUGGCACUGACUUAUUUAGCGGUGCUGGUGAAUGAGUCCAUGUCUCUUGAUGGCUGGUGUCUCUUCUCCCCAUCUGAGAGUAAAAAUGUCACAGUAAGGCAGCUGCUGUGAUGUCCACUUUAAAAAGUCCUGUCCAGCCACAUGGCUCCUUGUCUGUGCUGUGCACUAGCAAAGGGGAGGGUCUCACAUGGGUGAAGAGCUUUCUUCAAAGGACAUCUUCCCUUGUAUUAAAAUGUCUGUA